CGGAGCGUAGCGCAGUCUGGCAGCGCACCUGAUUUGGGAUCAGGGGGUCACAGGUUCGAACCCUGUCGCUCCGACCA
rnacentral:tRNA from 2 species